UACGUAGGCAGCGAGCGUUGUUCGGAGUUACUGGGCGUAAAGGGUGUGUAGGCGGUUGUUUAAGUUUGGUGUGAAAUCUCCCGGCUCAACUGGGAGGGUGCGCCGAAUACUGAAUGACUUCGAGUGCGGGAGAGGAGAGUGGAAUUCCCGGUGUAGCGGUGAAAUGCGCAGAUAUCGGGAAGAACACCCGUGGCGAAGGCGGCUCUCUGGGACGGUACUGACGCUGAGACGCGAAAGCGUGGGGAGCGAACAGG
rnacentral:rRNA from 1 species